rnacentral:rRNA from 1 species
CGGGCGCGGCGCCGGUCUAAGUCCCUUGGAACGGGGCGUCAGAGAGGGUGAGAAUCCCGUACGCGACCGGCGGCCCAGCCCGUGUGAUGCUCCUUCGACGAGUCGAGUUGUUUGGGAAUGCAGCUCUAAAUGGGUGGUAAGUUUCAUCUAAAGCUAAAUACCGGCCAGAGACCGAUAGCGCACAAGUAGAGUGAUCGAAAGAUGAAAAGCACUUUGGAAAGAGAGUCAAACAGUACGUGAAAUUGUUGAAAGGGAAGCGCUUGCCGCCAGACCUGCCCGCGGGCGAUCAGCCGUCGUUCUCGGCGGUGCACUCGCUCGUGAUCAGGCCAGCAUCGGUUCGGGCGGCCGGAUAAAGGCCCCGGGAAUGUGGCUCCUCUCGGGGAGUGUUACAGCCCGGGGCGCAAUGCGGCCAGCCGGGACCGAGGACCGCGCCUAUGGCUAGGAUGCUGGCGUAAUGGCGGCAAGCGGCCCGUCUUGAAACACGGACCAAGGAGUCUAACAUCUAUGCGAGUGUUUGGGUGUCAAACCCAUGCGCGGAAUGAAAGUGAACGGAGGUGGGACCCCCGUCCGGGGCGCACCAUCGACCGAUCCAGAUGUUUUCGGAUGGAUUUGAGUACGAGCAUAGCUGUUGGGACCCGAAAGAUGGUGAACUAUGCCUGAAUAGGGUGAAGCCAGAGGAAACUCUGGUGGAGGCUCGCAGCGGUUCUGACGUGCAAAUCGAUCGUCAAAUUUGGGUAUAGGGGCGAAAGACUAAUCGAACCAUC